rnacentral:rRNA from 1 species
AUUGAACGCUGGCGGCAUGCCUUACACAUGCAAGUCGAACGGGGUUUUCGGACCUAGCGGCGGACGGGUGAGUAAUGCGUAGGAAGCUACCCGAUAGAGGGGGAUACCAGUUGGAAACGACUGUUAAUACCGCAUAAUGUCUACGGACCAAAGUGUGGGACCUUCGGGCCACAUGCUAUCGGAUGCGCCUACGUGGGAUUAGCUAGUUGGUGGGGUAAUGGCUCACCAAGGCGACGAUCCCUAGCUGGUUUGAGAGGAUGAUCAGCCACACUGGAACUGAGACACGGUCCAGACUCCUACGGGAGGCAGCAGUGGGGAAUAUUGGACAAUGGGCGCAAGCCUGAUCCAGCCAUGCCGCGUGUGUGAAGAAGGCCUUCGGGCUGUAAAGCACUUUCAGCGAGGAGGAAGGGGUGUGUGUUAAUAGUACACACCUUUGACGUUACUCGCAGAAGAAGCACCGGCUAACUCUGUGCCAGCAGCCGCAGUAACAC